GGAAGAGUGAAGAUUCUGGAAAACCUGAUACAGCUGGAUAACUUACAGCUUUCAGACUCAGGUUUUUAUCGUCUGGAUAUAGGUUACCUUACACAAUCAACAAGUCAAUCAGGAAGGUUCAUCCUUCAGGUUUCUGAGCCAGUGUCUAAACCCAGUAUCACUACUGAGUGUCUGGGCAGCAACGUCACCCUGACCUGCAAUAGCAAGCAGGGGACCAAUGUAGAGUACGUCUGGGAAAGUGCGCCCCCUUGUGGAGAGAGCUGCUUACUGCAUCUUGGUCCUGUCGUAGUGAUAGCCUUCUCUAAUACAUCGAGCUCCUUAUACUAUACAUGUACGGCUUGGAAUGCGGUCAGCAAUGAGACCAGUGACCCUUUGGAGCUGAAUUUAUGCCCCAUAGAGCCAGCAGGUUUUAACUGGAUCGUAGCCCUAUGGAUGGUAACACCUGCAUUAUAUCUCACUGGAGCUGUGAUCUACAUACAGAAAAGCAAAAGAGGAUCAAAUAUAGCAAAUACAGCAGAGGAUGGAUUUCUGUCACCAGCCCCCAUGUACAUACAGGAGGGGCGAGUUUCCUCAUGUGCAGUUUAUAGACAGUUUGUCUCUGGGGGCGACUGACUUCACUCCUGCACGUCGUAUGUAAAACAGCAAUUAAUAGUACAGAAAACUGUGACAUAUUUCAGCUGGACACACAUACAAACCAAGGCUAUAAAGAAAACUGGAAUCAGAUCAUCUUAACACAUCUAGAAACAGUUAGUAUAUAAAGAUUUUUAUGGCCUAAAUAUAGAGUAUUAAUAUAUAUAUAUUGUAUAUAUUUACAGUCAUGUUAUUCCACGACACACUAUAGAUCUACAGCAUUAAAGCUGCAGUUCUGUCUCUGUCGUGCUGAGCUUAAAAAUAAAAAUGACCUUUCUGAGAAAAGGUGGUUUAACAUUUCAAAGAACAAACUGUGGGCUGAGCUGUAUGUUUCAGUGACACGUGCUUGGAACGGCUGUGAAUUUAGACCCUACAGGCAAAGGCAAAGCUGCUGCAAUGUGUUAAGCUGCACAGAUAGAUGGUCAAUGUGGCCAAUGCUGCAGGAGAGCUUGCAUCGCCCACGUGGAAACCUCCGGAAGGAGGUCUCAGGCACGCUGUGCAAACCAGGCACGGCUGCAGGUGGUAAAGGUAACAGUGCCUUUGUGAAUAUAAGAAGUUGAAAUCAAAAGCCUUUUUAUACCUGUGUUACAUGAAAAUAUUUGCAGGUUGUAAAUUUGUCCUUAUUUAUAAUGUUUGAAUUGUAUUCGAAUCUUCCCUGGGGUCAAAAAAUGAUCUUAACCUAAUGUUUUAGAAAAGCUAGAGACCGGUUUCUCAUUGUGUGCUGUGCUGUAUUGUGUGUCUGUAUCACAUUUAAAAUGCAGAUGUCCGAUGUUGUAUGUAUUUGCGUUUAUUCUCUGUAAUGUAGAAUUUAUAUCCUGUUUCUUUAUUUUAUCCUCUUUUGUCACUUUCUGUAGUAGCCGUACGAACAAAACUUUCCCCUGAUAUUGGUCAUGUGACAAAAGGGAUAUUAUUCUGUUCUACUACAUUUUUGAAUGUCUACUUGUUUAACAAGCAUGUGUUAUAAAAGUUGUUCACUGCACCAUUCUUGUGACCUUUAACCUAAAACCUCCUUGGUGCAAGAUGCAUAGAAAAUUUUAAAAUAAUAAUUUAAAAUGAAGUGGAAAAAUAACACAAUUACAAUCACAUCGGGGACAGUGUGGCUCAGUGGGUUAAAGCUCUGUGUCCGGACGGCCGCCGGUUCGAGCCCGACUUCUGCAGAAUGGAUUGUAGCCCCUUGAGCUCGGUCCUUAACCCCCAGCUCUGUGGGCGCUGCUGCAGGCGGCUGCCCUUCGCUGACAAGCUUGGUCUCACCUACAUGUGUGUCUGUGUGUCAUGAAGAUCAUCAAUAAAGUGUCGGAAAAAAAGUCGCUGCUGUAUUUGCAAGCAACGUUCUACA